rnacentral:sRNA from 2 species
AUUCCGAACCCGCUCUCUUGCUUCUGGAAUGUGACAUGUUGCUGCUACUGCUAUCGAUGUACUGUACAACGAACGGCAUUUGUAUCCCAUGAUAAACCGUCAGUACCACAAAACUCCUUAGAGGUUUCUACACAAAGCUCCAUCCUCGGGGAUGCCUGAUGGUAUUUUCCAUUGUAAAAUUAUAUCUACUCCUCUUACACAUUUUUGUUGCUACAGAGACUGCGCUCCUCAUUAGUUUAGAUUCCAUCUCGACAAGGAAUUGCAAACUGAAACUGAAACAAGCAUUUUUGGGGGGGGGGGUUUGUUGAGGCGCAACUUGAUUGUUCAGUGUAAUAUUCUUCGGCGCAAUCCCGAAGUAACCGUUUCUAUUCAUCCCGCCUGUGCUUACUUGUACGGUACACACAGAAUCCACCAAACAUGAGACAACACACUCGGGGAGCAUGCGUGCCUGCAUGUGGUACUGCAUAGCCGAUGCGUGUGGUGGAAGAAACUGCCCCUUAUAACCGAACCUACAGCAUUGCUACGAAAGUUAGAAUAGUGGACGAGUUAAAUAAAAUAAUAGCAAAACACAGAA